rnacentral:pre_miRNA from 1 species
CGAGUACUCCCUUCGUCCCAAAAUUCUUGUCUUAGGUUUGUCUAAAAAUGGAUGUAUCUAAAUACUAAAAUAUGACUAGAUACAUUCAUAUCUUGACAAAUCUAAGACAAUUUUUUGGACGGAGGGAGUACUAC